UCAACCAUUGUAGGCUUUGGAAACUGUUUAACUNGAGUGCAGAAGGGGAGAGUGGAAUUCCAUGUGUAGCGGUGAAAUGCGUAGAUAUGUGGAGGAACACCGGUGGCGAAAGCGGCUCUCUGGUCUGUAACUGACGCUGAGGCUNGAAAGCGUGGGGAGCGAACAGGAUUAGAUACCCUGGUAGUCCACGCCGUAAACGAUGAGUGCUAGGUGUUAGGUCCUUUCCGGGACUUAGUGCCGCAGCUAACGCAUUAAGCACUCCGCCUGGGGAGUACGACCGCAAGGUUGAAACUCAAAGGAAUUGACGGGGGCCCGCACAAGCGGUGGAGCAUGUGGUUUAAUUCGAAGCAACGCGAAGAACCUUACCAGGUCUUGACAUCCUGAUGCCCGCUCUAGAGAUAGAGCUUUACUUCGGUACAUCGGUGACAGGUGGUGCAUGGUUGUCGUCAGCUCGUGUCGUGAGAUGUUGGGUUAAGUCCCGCAACGAGCGCAACCCUUAUUGUUAGUUGCCAUCAUUCAGUUGGGCACUCUAGCGAGACUGCCGGUAAUAAACCGGAGGAAGGUGGGGAUGACGUCAAAUCAUCAUGCCCCUUAUGACCUGGGCUACACACGUGCUACAAUGGCUGGUACAACGAGUCGCAAGCCGGUGACGGCAAGCUAAUCUCUGAAAGCCAGUCUCAGUUCGGAUUGUAGGCUGCAACUCGCCUACAUGAAGUCGGAAUCGCUAGUAAUCGCGGAUCAGCACGCCGCGGUGAAUACGUUCCCGGGCCUUGUACACACCGCCCGUCACACCACGAGAGUUUGUAACACCCGAAGUCG
rnacentral:rRNA from 1 species